rnacentral:rRNA from 1 species
GAACGGUGUCUUCGGACACAGUGGCGNACGGGUGAGUAACGCGUGAGAAUCUGGCUUUAGGUCUGGGACAACCACUGGAAACGGUGGCUAAUACCGGAUGUGCCCUUAGGGGUGAAAGGUUAACUGCCUAAAGAUGAGCUCGCGUCUGAUUAGCUAGUUGGUGUGGUAAGAGCGCACCAAGGCGACGAUCAGUAGCUGGUCUGAGAGGACGAUCAGCCACANUGGGACUGAGACACGGCCCAGACUCCUACGGGAGGCAGCAGUGGGGAAUUUUCCGCAAUGGGCGAAAGCCUGACGGAGCAAUACCGCGUGAGGGAGGAAGGCUCUUGGGUCGUAAACCUCUUUUCUCAGGGAAGAACACAAUGACGGUACCUGAGGAAUAAG